UACGAAGGUGACAAGCGUUGUUCGGAAUCAUUGGGCGUAAAGCGCACGUAGGCGGGUUUGUAAGUCGAUUGUGAAAACCCUGGGCUCAACCCGGGAAUUGCAGUCGAAACUGCAAGUCUUGAAUGCUGGAGAGGAUGGUGGAAUUCCAGGAGUAGAAGUGAAAUUCGUAGAUAUCUGGAGGAACACCGGAGGCGAAAGCGGCCAUCUGGCCAGCCAUUGACGCUAAGGUGCGAAAGCGUGGGGAUCAAAGCAGG
rnacentral:rRNA from 1 species